GACGAACGCUGGCGGCGCGCCUAACACAUGCAAGUCGAACGAGCGAGAGAGAGCUUGCUUUCUUGAGCGAGUGGCGAACGGGUGAGUAACGCGUGAGGAACCUGCCUCAAAGAGGGGGACAACAGUUGGAAACGACUGCUAAUACCGCAUAAGCCCACGACCCGGCAUUGGGUUGAGGGAAAAGGAGUGAUCCGCUUUGAGAUGGCCUCGCGUCCGAUUAGCUAGUUGGUGAGGUAACGGCCCACCAAGGCGACGAUCGGUAGCCGGACUGAGAGGUUGAACGGCCACAUUGGGACUGAGACACGGCCCAG
rnacentral:rRNA from 1 species